UACGAAGGGGGCGAGCGUUGUUCGGAUUUACUGGGCGUAAAGGGCGCGCUAGAGCGGCCGAUCAAGUCAGGCGUGAAAGCCCCGGGCUCAACCUGGGAAUUGCGCUUGGGACUGGUUGGCUUGAGUUCGGGAGAGGAGCGUGGAAUUCCCAGUGUAGAGGUGAAAUUCGUAGAUAUUGGGAAGAACACCGGUGGCGAAGGCGGCGCUCUGGACCGAGACUGACGCUGAGGCGCGAAAGCGUGGGGAGCAAACAGG
rnacentral:rRNA from 1 species